GUGGGGAAUCUUGCGCAAUGGGCGAAAGCCUGACGCAGUCAUGCCGCGUGAAUGAUGAAGGUCUUAGGAUUGUAAAAUUCUUUCACCGGGGACGAUAAUGACGGUACCCGGAGAAGAAGCUCCGGCUAACUUCGUGCCAGCAGCCGCGGUAAUACGAAGGGGGCUAGCGUUGCUCGGAAUUACUGGGCGUAAAGGGCGCGUAGGCGGACAGCUUAGUCAGAGGUGCAAGCCCAGGGCUCAACCUUGGAAUUGCCUUUGAUACUGGCUGUCUUGAGUUUGGGAGAGGUGAGUGGAACUCCGAGUGUAGAGGUGAAAUUCGUAGAUAUUCGGAAGAACACCAGUGGCGAAGGCGACUCACUGGCCCAAUACUGACGCUGAGGCGCGAAAGCGUGGGGAGCAAACAGGAUUAGAAACCCCAGUAGUCC
rnacentral:rRNA from 1 species